UGGGGAAUAUUGGACAAUGGGGGCAACCCUGAUCCAGCCAUGCCGCGUGAGUGACGAAGGCCCUAGGGUUGUAAAGCUCUUUUGUGCGGGAAGAUAAUGACGGUACCGCAAGAAUAAGCCCCGGCUAACUUCGUGCCAGCAGCCGCGGUAAUACGAAGGGGGCUAGCGUUGCUCGGAAUCACUGGGCGUAAAGGGUGCGUAGGCGGGUUUCUAAGUCAGAGGUGAAAGCCUGGAGCUCAACUCCAGAACUGCCUUUGAUACUGGAAGUCUUGAGUAUGGCAGAGGUGAGUGGAACUGCGAGUGUAGAGGUGAAAUUCGUAGAUAUUCGCAAGAACACCAGUGGCGAAGGCGGCUCACUGGGCCAUUACUGACGCUGAGGCACGAAAGCGUGGGGAGCAAAACAGGAUUAGAUACCCUGGUAGUCCACGCCGUAAAACGAUGAAUGCCAGCCGUUAGUGGGUUUUACCACUAGUGCGCAGCUAACGCUUUUAAGCAUUCCGCCUGGGGAGUACGGUCGCAAGAUUAAAAACUC
rnacentral:rRNA from 1 species